GAAAUGCGAUAAGUAAUGUGAAUUGCAGAAUUCAGUGAAUCAUCGAAUCUUUGAACGCACAUUGCGCCCGCCAGUAUUCUGGCGGGCAUGCCUGUUCGAGCGUCAUUUCAACCAUCAAGCCCCGGGCUUGUGUUGGGGACCUGCGGCUGCCGCAGGCCCUGAAAACCAGUGGCGGGCUCGCUGUCACACUGAGCGUAGUAGAUUCUCAUCUCGCUCAGGGCGUGCUGCGGGUUCCGGCCGUAAAACAGCCUUAUUUUACCCAAGGUUGACCUCGGAUCAGGUAGGAAGACCCGCUGAACUUAAGC
rnacentral:misc_RNA from 1 species